rnacentral:rRNA from 1 species
UACGAAGGGGGCUAGCGUUGCUCGGGAAUCACUGGGCGUAAAGGGUGCGUAGGCGGGUCUUUAAGUCAGGGGUGAAAUCCUGGAGCUCAACUCCAGAACUGGCCUUUGAUACUGAGGAUCUUGAGUUCGGGAGAGGUGAGUGGAACUGCGAGUGUAGAGGUGAAAUUCGUAGAUAUUCGCAAGAACACCAGUGGCGAAGGCGGCUCACUGGCCCGAUACUGACGCUGAGGCACGAAGCG